AAAAUUUCUUUAUUUACUUAUUCAGAUGGAGUUUCACUCUGUCUCAAAAAGACAAAACAAAUAGAGGGCAUUUCCAGCAUCCAGAAAGUUCCCUUUCUCAUCCGUACCCCCUUCCUCAUCCAUCCUCACCCCCAGAGCAACCCUUUUCUAAUUCUGUCACCAUAAUACAUUUCGCCUACUCUCAGACUUCACAUCAGUGGAAUCACUCAGUAUGUAAUCUUUUGUGUCUUAUUUUGCUCAGCAUGAUUUUGAGAAUCAACCACAUUGUUGCAUGUAUGGACAGUUUGUUCUGUCUUAUUAUGAAGUGUUAUUUCACUAUAUAAAUAUACCAUUAUUUGUUUAUUCAUUCUCCUAUCGAUGGACAUUUAGGUUCUUUCCAGCUGGGGCUGUUAUUAAUAAGGAUGCUUUGAAUGUUCUUAUACAAGUCUUUGCAUGGACAUGUGUUUUCAUUUCUCUUGGCUACCUAUCUGAGAAUACAAUUGUUCAGUAAUAGAGUAGAUAUAUGUUUAACUUUAUUAGAAACAUGGCAUAUGUAUUUUACGUACUCCCUCUAUAAGAAAAACACAAAAACAAGACAUGUAAUUGUUGCACAAUACUGAAGUGGCCCAAGAAUUAGGGUUCCUUAAAGGAAGCCUUCUUCCACCUGUAUUGAUCAUCCAUGGUAUUGAUCAUCCAUGGCUCCUCACCAGGCAUCAUUCUUUGGGUCAGCUAGGCAGAAUGACUUGCUGCUCCCUGAGUAUGUGAUGCAGUCUCUUCCCUAUGAGUCUCCCUACUAGGUACUUCCUCUGACUGGCUGCUCUGCUCUCAUCCUUUACCUGCCCUGUCUAAUCUUAAAGACUGGAUUUAAUCAUUUUCAUCUCUGGGAGGCCUUUCAUACCACCCUCCCCAAACCCCCAUCAUCACUGUCAAGGUUGAAUUAAGUGUCUCUUCUCUGUGCUCCCAUAGAAACUCAGGUUUUUCUCUAUAACUGCUAGUCUAUUUGUCUAUCUCCACUGCUAGACUAUAAGCUCCCUAUGGGUGGAAUCCUGUUCACUGUUAUGAUCUAUUGCCUAGCAAAGUUCUUGACCCAGAAUAGGUGCCUGACAAGUAUCAAUUGAAUCCAUGAAUAAAUAGUUGAGCAGGUUUGAUGUUGUUGGCAUUGGGUGAAGUUUAUUUAUACUUUAUGAUAUUCAGGUAGAAAUAGGUUGUUAGUUGUAUAGGUCUGGAGUUCAAAUAUUGGGCUUACGGGCAGGAGGAGGACAAGAGGUAUGGAUAUGGGAACUCCCCUUACUUUCAGUCACAUUGUAUACAGGUAAGAACUGAAAGUUUGGGAUUCAAUACAAAUACUUGAGGAAAGUUUCCAGUUUUGAAGAUAAUUAAGAGAGAAUGAGAGAAGGGGCCAAAUUGCAGUAGAUUAUGGUGUAAAUGAAAAGAGAAGGGGAGAAAUGCAAACAGUAUAGACAGAUAAUUCAAGAAUUUUGGUGCUGAGAUUCCAAGUAGAGCAAUUACAAUAUGUCCCAACAAACAGAUGAGAUUGGAUAAUGUUGUUUCUUUCACUUUUAUUUUUGUUAGUUUAAGAAGGAAAAGACAGCUAAGACUAUCGAAGGACCAGUGUCAUUGGACAGAGGAAAUUCUGUGACAGGUAUGAGAAGAUACAAAUGAGACAAAUUUAGUUCAUAUAAAGUUUUUACUGAGGUCUCACACCAUUAAGUCAUGAUAUGAGUUGGUUGGUUUGUUUGUGUCAUGAAUAGGGACUGCCUGAC
rnacentral:lncRNA from 10 species